GGCGACUCCCUACGACAACCCCAACUCCCGCAUCAGCUACACCAUUAUCGAAAACCCGUACCGAGAAAAAAGAUUUCUAGUUUAGAUCACCCUGAGUGGAGAGUCCAGCAGCUCAAACCUGCAGCCGUAAAACUAAACUAAAGGUCUGCAUCACCUGCUCGGUUCUCCUGUGUGAGAACGCCGUUCCUGGUGCACCGUUCCCUGUUCUCAGCGAUGCACCAACCAAAGGAAGCUCCUUCUCAAACUAACAGCCACUCCAUUUCCCAGGGACCUCUGGCACUAAAGGGGAGUGGUUUUCUUCUCCUUCACAGGGUGGCAGGCUGAUGGGAUCCAGCUGUGACUCAUCACCACCAAUCUGCCUUAAACAAGAGCGGCUUCCCGGAAGCAGUGAACCCGUGCUGAACACUCUCUGAGACAUACUCACCUGAAGUAUCUGAUCCUCGCUGCUCCGUUGGGCCUUGCACCUGGGUGCGUCACGCCCUCCAGCACCUGCUGGUACUCCUCCAUCUGGAAACCACCAAACCACACCAACUGUUGGCCAUAAGCCACCAACCGGUUACUCCGUCAUUCCCUUCAUUACUUCCCUCUUUAACCGUUCGCCCUUUGCAGCUCCUCCGCUGGCCCGGUUCCCCCCUGCUGUCGCAGAUCGACGCCCCUCCACAAGCUCUCCAGCACAUUCUACUGUUAAAUAAAUGUUAAAACUGUUUGAGUGUCUGUAGUUGUUGCUUGCAUUAUGACAUUAUUUCUUUUUAAGGGAAAAAAAA